UACGUAGGGGGCAAGCGUUGUCCGGAUUUAUUGGGCGUAAAGAGCGUGUAGGCGGCCAUACAGGUCAGCUGUGAAAACUCGAGGCUCAACCUCGAGACGUCGGUUGAAACCGUAUGGCUAGAGUCCGGAAGAGGAGAGUGGAAUUCCCGGUGUAUCGGUGAAAUGCGCAGAUAUCGGGAAGAACACCCGUGGCGAAGGCGGCUCUCUGGGACGGUACUGACGCUGAGACGCGAAAGCGUGGGGAGCGAACAGG
rnacentral:rRNA from 1 species